rnacentral:rRNA from 1 species
UGCAAGAGGCGAACCAGGGGAACUGAAACAUCUAAGUACCCUGAGGAAAAGAAAUCAACCGAGAUUCCCUUAGUAGUGGCGAGCGAACGGGGAUUAGCCCUUAAGCUUCAUUGAUUUUAGCGGAACGCUCUGGAAAGUGCGGCCAUAGUGGGUGAUAGCCCCGUACGCGAAAGGAUCUUUGAAGUGAAAUCGAGUAGGACGGAGCACGAGAAACUUUGUCUGAACAUGGGGGGACCAUCCUCCAAGGCUAAAUACUACUGACUGACCGAUAGUGAACCAGUACCGUGAGGGAAAGGCGAAAAGAACCCCGGAGAGGGGAGUGAAAUAGAACCUGAAACCGUAUGCGUACAAGCAGUGGGAGCCUACUUGUUAGGUGACUGCGUACCUUUUGUAUAAUGGGUCAGCGACUUAUAUUCAGUGGCAAGCUUAACCGUAUAGGGUAGGCGUAGCGAAAGCGAGUCUUAAUAGGGCGUUUAGUCGCUGGGUAUAGACCCGAAACCGGGCGAUCUAUCCAUGAGCAGGUUGAAGGUUAGGUAACACUGACUGGAGGACCGAACCCACUCCCGUUGAAAAGGUAGGGGAUGACUUGUGGAUCGGAGUGAAAGGCUAAUCAAGCUCGGAGAUAGCUGGUUCUCCUCGAAAGCUAUUUAGGUAGCGCCUCAUGUAUCACUCUGGGGGGUAGAGCACUGUUUCGGCUAGGGGGUCAUCCCGACUUACCAAACCGAUGCAAACUCCGAAUACCCAGAAGUGCCGAGCAUGGGAGACACACGGCGGGUGCUAACGUCCGUCGUGAAAAGGGAAACAACCCAGACCGCCAGCUAAGGUCCCAAAGUUGUGGUUAAGUGGUAAACGAUGUGGGAAGGCUUAGACAGCUAGGAGGUUGGCUUAGAAGCAGCCAUCCUUUAAAGAAAGCGUAAUAGCUCACUAGUCGAGUCGGCCUGCGCGGAAGAUGUAACGGGGCUCAAACCACACACCGAAGCUGCGGGUGUCACGCAAGUGACGCGGUAGAGGAGCGUUCUGUAAGCCUGUGAAGGUGAGUUGAGAAGCUUGCUGGAGGUAUCAGAAGUGCGAAUGCUGACAUGAGUAACGACAAUGGGUGUGAAAAACAUCCACGCCGAAAGACCAAGGGUUCCUGCGCAACGUUAAUCGACGCAGGGUUAGUCGGUUCCUAAGGCGAGGCUGAAAAGCGUAGUCGAUGGGAAACAGGUUAAUAUUCCUGUACUUCUGGUUACUGCGAUGGAGGGACGGAGAAGGCUAGGCCAGCUUGGCGUUGGUUGUCCAAGUUUAAGGUGGUAGGCUGAAAUCUUAGGUAAAUCCGGGGUUUCAAGGCCGAGAGCUGAUGACGAGUCGUCUUUUAGAUGACGAAGUGGUUGAUGCCAUGCUUCCAAGAAAAGCUUCUAAGCUUCAGGUAACCAGGAACCGUACCCCAAACCGACACAGGUGGUCGGGUAGAGAAUACCAAGGCGCUUGAGAGAACUCGGGUGAAGGAACUAGGCAAAAUGGCACCGUAACUUCGGGAGAAGGUGCGCCGGCUAGGGUGAAGGAUUUACUCCGUAAGCUCUGGCUGGUCGAAGAUACCAGGCCGCUGCGACUGUUUAUUAAAAACACAGCACUCUGCAAACACGAAAGUGGACGUAUAGGGUGUGACGCCUGCCCGGUGCCGGAAGGUUAAUUGAUGGGGUUAGCGCAAGCGAAGCUCUUGAUCGAAGCCCCGGUAAACGGCGGCCGUAACUAUAACGGUCCUAAGGUAGCGAAAUUCCUUGUCGGGUAAGUUCCGACCUGCACGAAUGGCGUAACGAUGGCGGCGCUGUCUCCACCCGAGACUCAGUGAAAUUGAAAUCGCUGUGAAGAUGCAGUGUAUCCGCGGCUAGACGGAAAGACCCCGUGAACCUUUACUGUAGCUUUGCACUGGACUUUGAGCCUGCUUGUGUAGGAUAGGUGGGAGGCUUUGAAGCGUGGACGCCAGUUCGCGUGGAGCCAUCCUUGAAAUACCACCCUGGCAUGCUUGAGGUUCUAACUCUGGUCCGUGAUCCGGAUCGAGGACAGUGUAUGGUGGGCAGUUUGACUGGGGCGGUCUCCUCCUAAAGAGUAACGGAGGAGUACGAAGGUGCGCUCAGACCGG